CUUUAUUAAAAAAACAACAAAAAAAAAAAUCCAUCAGGGCUGAGAAGAAAGAGACCGAAAGGGGACGCAAGAUCCCAGGAGAGGAGAUGGAAAGUUCCCGGGACAAGCCAGGGCUUCGACCGAGGACAGGAUCCCAGGGAGCUGCACAGUGAAUAUACACCUGCCUGAACCAAGAUUAGAAUUCACCUUCACUGGGAAGGGCACCGUCACUUCUGCAGACAUCUAUCUGGCUUUAACAGGAGCAGAAGGUAUCCAUCAACCCUUCUUGAAUUUCCAAAGAAAAGGAGCCUAAAUCUGACUCCCAGGAAACACCUUCAACUCGCGCCCUUCCUCAGCUGUACCCACAACACCCAAGGCCCCACAAGGUCCACACCUAAACCUCUCUGUAAUGAAACUCAGGCUGUAAUCUGGAGGGCCUCUGGACCCCUAGCGGGUGGGGGAGCCCCCUCCUUGGGCGCAGUGGAGCUUAGUGAUGGAGUUCUGGAGAGCAGGCAGAGGAAGGGGGCUCCCACUCUACAAGAUGAGAUCUCCCAGUGA
rnacentral:lncRNA from 1 species